UGGCCAAAAUGUUUGUUCGUGUUUUUCCAUAAGACGUUAAGGGAAAAACCUGAACGAACCUUUUGGCCAA
rnacentral:miRNA from 1 species